GAUGAACGCUGGCGGCGUGCCUAAUACAUGCAAGUCGAGCGAACAGACGAGGAGUUUGCUCCUUUGACGUUAGCGGCGGACGGGUGAGUAACACGUAGGUAACCUACCUAUAAGACUGGGAUAACUUCGGGAAACCGGAGCUAAUACCGGAUAAUAUUUCGAACCGCAUGGUUCGAUAGUGAAAGAUGGCUUUGCUAUCACUUAUAGAUGGACCUGCGCCGUAUUAGCUAGUUGGUAAGGUAACGGCUUACCAAGGCAACGAUACGUAGCCGACCUGAGAGGGUGAUCGGCCACACUGGAACUGAGACACGGUCCAGACUCCUACGGGAGGCAGCAGUAGGGAAUCUUCCGCAAUGGGCGAAAGCCUGACGGAGCAACGCCGCGUGAGUGAUGAAGGUCUUCGGAUCGUAAAACUCUGUUAUUAGGGAAGAACAAACGUGUAAGUAACUGUGCACGUCUUGACGGUACCUAAUCAGAAAGCCACGGCUAACUACGUG
rnacentral:rRNA from 1 species